rnacentral:tRNA from 2 species
GGGCUUGUAGCUCAGGUGGUUAGAGCGCACGCCUGAUAAGCGUGAGGUCGGAGGUUCAACUCCUCCCAGGCCCACCA